rnacentral:tRNA from 1 species
GUGGUGCUGGAGGAGCGGGGGCACCUCCUCGCCCGUAUCCAGGACGAGGCGAUCGCUGCGGCAGCGGCCGCCGGUCACACCGGCAGCGCCGUG